ensembl:lncRNA
UCAUUCACUGCUUUAAGUAUGUGUCAGUUUCACAUUCUCAUGCAGUUUAUCUUCUAACUUGGCAGACGAGAUGGCAAAACAAUCAGGAUUCCAGACUAAUGGAACAGGAAGACAUUUAUUAUGGACAACUUUGGCAGUGGGAAAGACAGCAGCAGAGUAUCUGGGAGCUGUCGUGGACACCUCUACCUCUGCGUUUCUGCUGGUGUGAAUGUAGCAAGAUUCCUGCAGCUGACCGCAGCUCUUCCGAUGACAGGUCACACCUGGGAGAGCUGCAGCCUGCCCUGGGCUAUGAGAGGCUGUUGACAGCUUGAUUGGAGCUAUCUGUGGUGAGGACUGGAUCUGGUGCAGGGUGUUAAAGGCAAUGGGUGAUGCAGAAACCUGUCAGCAGUACAGAGGUUUGUGUCUUUAUAUUAGUCACUAUAAAGGCAUCAUUACAUUUUUGCACAGUUAAAUCACACAAAUUAUUUGUUUAUUUUUUCCUUCGCAAAAUAUCAAAGCAGUACAUUUCCUUUUAACCAAGUAAUCUCAAGUUCAUUUUAAGGGAUGUAGUCAGUCAGUUCCUCUUAUAUUCAUGCUAGAAUAACCACAGAUGUAGUUCAUUACAACUAAGUACUUGAUCAAGUUUGAAAAAACAGAAAAUGUCCAAAUAUAUUUUGCCUUUGCUCUGAACUGUACUGUAUCUUUUUUGUAUCAUUUAAAACCUCAAAAAUUUCUACUAACUUUCUUUAAAUGCCACUUUGGCAUAUAUACACUAUUAAAAAAUCUGUAAAAUUAGGCCAAAUAUAUACUGUAUAAUUUGAAGGAGUUUUUCAGUUUUUUCUGAUUUAUUUUUACAGUAUAUAUAAGAAUUUCUAAUAUAUAUAUANUUAGAAAUUCUUGGAUGGUAUGACAAAAUCAUAAUUUUAUUGUGAAAUCCAAAGAUAUUUAUAUAUAAUUAAGUAUAAUGUUUAUAUAAUAAUACUAUACUAAUAGUAAUUUAUAUUAUAAAUCUUAAUAUCUGUUCAUAAACUAUUUAUAUAAUGUCUGAUUGCAAGUUAUUUUAGUUUAUAAUUUUAUUACAUAACAUGUACCUUUAUGUAUUUAUUUUUGGUCUUGAUGGCUGUUCUCAAAAAUUUCUUGGUUAUGCAUACAAGCAUUAUUAUUGUUAAAUGCAAAUACAUUUUUAUUUUUGAGUAUAUAUGAUAAUUCUUUGAGUAAAUGAAUGAAUGAAUUUGUACUGUAAUGUUGCAGUAAUGGUAUAUGUGAAAGGUCACAAGCUGCCCUCUUCCACAAUGCCAUCUUGAUAUUUCUAAGGUUUUAUAACAUGUUAGUUAAAUUGGACAUACAACAAACAAACAAUGUGCAGAAUAGGGUUACGAGCUGCGGCAGCAGUGGUAGGGGUGACGCUCGGCUUGCGGUAACCUCCCAGUGGCAGCGGCCCUGCCGGCCCUCCCUGUGUUCCUGGCCGUCUCUCACAUGGUGAUUGGGUUUCAGCGCAGGGCUCAGAGCUGUGGGAACGAGUCAUCACACUGGCGGCCUGCCUGGGAGACUGUGCUAUACUCCACCAGGGGGAAGGCAAUUGACAAGUGGGGUUUUGUAAGCCCAGACAAUGUGCCAUCUUCACUGUUUAACCCAGGAAAUCCACUACAGCUGGAGCCUCCAAAUAAAUGAGAAACCCAUGUGUGAAAGUGUGUCUGU